rnacentral:rRNA from 1 species
UACGGAGGGUGCGAGCGUUGUCCGGAAUUAUUGGGCGUAAAGAGCUCGUAGGCGGCUUGUCACGUCGGAUGUGAAAGCCCGGGGCUUAACCCCGGGUCUGCAUUCGAUACGGGCUAGCUAGAGUGUGGUAGGGGAGAUCGGAAUUCCUGGUGUAGCGGUGAAAUGCGCAGAUAUCAGGAGGAACACCGGUGGCGAAGGCGGAUCUCUGGGCCAUUACUGACGCUGAGGAGCGAAAGCGUGGGGAGCGAACAGG